UACGGAGGGUGCGAGCGUUGUCCGGAAUCACUGGGCGUAAAGGGCGCGUAGGCGGCCUGAUAAGUAGGGGGUGAAAUCCUGCGGCUUAACCGCAGGGCUGCCUUCUAAACUGUCAGGCUAGAGCACAGUAGAGGCAGGUGGAAUUCCCGGUGUAGCGGUGGAAUGCGUAGAGAUCGGGAAGAACAUCAGUGGCGAAGGCGGCCUGCUGGGACGGUACUGACGCUGAGACGCGAAAGCGUGGGGAGCGAACAGG
rnacentral:rRNA from 1 species